UGCCUCUACCCUAGAACGUCUGAAGCGUAACCCUAGAACGUCUGAAGCAAAGAAACGAGGUUCGUCGCUCCCCUUCGCGGCGGCUCGCCGGUGAUGUUUACGCUUCUUCCCACGGCUUGAAACGGUCUGAUUUAUGUCUUCGUCUUUACUCCCAUUGAUUCCCUCUCCCACGAUCUGUCUUCAAAGUACUUUUGGAUCUGAGAAGCGGUGUAGGUUAAGUAUAAAUAUAUGUUAGAUUCUUCUCCUUGAACACAUCUUCUCUUCGUUUCCUUUUUUCUUCCUCUGAAACUUUAUCAUCUUCUUCAUCUGAUCGAGGAUGAACAACUAGAGUUAUGAGAGGACGAGAUCCUUGAAUGUUUCUGGGAGGCUAAGAAUGUCAAGCGCGGUGGUUGAUGUAAAAGGAAAACCAAAGGUAUUUACUCUUUAAGAAAUGGAGGCGAUGAUGUCGUAGCAGGAGCUCCGCCUUGGAAUCCGAUGACGAUGCAAGCUGCUUAUAAUGAACCUGGAGAUGAGUCCACGAAGAUCACUGGCGUCAAGAGAGGUAGUAACGAAGGAGGUGGUGAUGGAGAUUCACAGAAACUGAAAUUUUCUGUUUCUUUGUUGAGGGAAGAAAUACAAAAAGAUUUCACAGCGUACAAUGGGAAAAAACCUCCUACAAGACAAAAGAAGAGACAAGAACUAUUCAGAGUCAAAUGAAUAGGAAGUAACAUCAUGCUCUUCUGAUUUAUGAAAACAUGAUCAAAGGUGUGAUUCCUUGGUUUCUUCAGUUUAGAGUCCUCAAAAUUCAUGUUCUAUCAAAUUUGUGUUAAUACUUUUUCAGUUGUAAAGAUGAAGAACAAAUAUAGCAAUGCACCAAUUUUUAGUGAAUGAAACUAUUUUACUAUGUUUCUUCAUAUUCUUCUCUUUAUUUGUGUAAAAGAGAUGAGCGGAGCUAAUCGUAAUCUCCAGCUGUUUUAUUUAUCAAUAAUACUCUCUCCAGUUUUCUUA